rnacentral:rRNA from 1 species
CCUACGGGUGGCAGCAGUGAGGAAUAUUGGACAAUGGACGAGAGUCUGAACCAGCCAAGUAGCGUGAAGGAUGAAUGCCCUAUGGGUUGUAAACUUCUUUUAUAUGGGAAUAAAAUGUUCCACGUGUGGGCUUUUGUAUGUACCAUAUGAAUAAGGAACGGCUAACUCCGUGCCAGCAGCCGCGGUAAUACGGAGGAUCCGAGCGUUAUCCGGAUUUAUUGGGUUUAAAGGGAGCGUAGGUGGAUUGUUAAGUCAGUUGUGAAAGGUUGGGGCUCAACCGUAAAAGUGCAGUUGAAACUGGCAGUCUGGAGUACAGUAGAGGUGGGCGGAAUUCGUGGUGUAGCGGUGAAAUGCUUAGAUAUCACGAAGAACUCCGAUUGCGAAGGCAGCUCACUGGACUGCAACUGACACUGAGGCUCGAAAGUGUGGGUAUCAAACAGGAUUAGAUACCCGGGUAGUC